UGCUCAACAGCUAGCUCAUCCACUCAACACCAACAAACCACUAUUAAUAACCCCAAAUAACACUUUAACCCAACAAACAAACCAUUUUUCCCCCAAAGUACGGGAGACGGAAAAGGAUUCUUUNNNNGAAAGCAAUAGAAAAAGUACCGCAAGGGAAAGCUGAAAGAGACAAUGAAACAGCUCAGUAAAGCAUAAAAAAGCAGAGAUUCCCCCUCGUACCUUUUGCAUCAUGAUUUAGCAAGAAAAAAUUAAGCAAAAAGCAUUACAGUUUAACUCCCCGAAACUAGGUGAGCUACUCCAAGACAGCCUAAUUAUAGGGCAACCCCGUCUCUGUGGCAAAAGAGUGGGAAGAACUUCGAGUAGAGGUGACAGACCUACCGAACCUAGUUAUAGCUGGUUGCCUGAGAACUGAAUAGAAGUUCAGCCCUUUAAAUUCUUCCUCCACCUGCCACCCAUAGUUAAUUCUAGGUGCUAAAGAAAUCAAAGNGAGUUAGUCAAAAGGGGUACAGCCCUUUUGACCAAAGACACAACUUUCCCGGCAGGAUACAGAUCAUAUUCUUAAAGGUCCGUGCCCUAGUGGGCUUAAAAGCAGCCACCUAAACAGAAAGCGUUAAAGCUCGAGCAUACCACCCCUCCCCCCAAUCCUGACAACAACAUCUAAACCCGCCACCCCUAUCAGGCCACUCCACCCCCAACAUGGAAGCGAUCAUGCUAAUAUGAGUAUUAAGAAAGCCCCGCCUUUCUCCUAGCACACACGUAAAUCGGAACGAACCCCCACCGAAAAUUAACGACCCCAAAAUCAAGAGGGGACUGGAUUAAAAANCAAACAACCAGAAAACCAUCCAACCACCAACCGUUAACCCCACACCGGUGUGCACCAAAGGAAAGACAAAAAGAAAAGGAAGGAACUCGGCAAACACAAGCCUCGCCUGUUUACCAAAAACAUCGCCUCUUGCAACACUAACUUAUAAGAGGUCCCGCCUGCCCUGUGACUAUAAGUUUAACGGCCGCGGUAUUUUGACCGUGCAAAGGUAGCGCAAUCACUUGUCUUUUAAAUGUAGACCUGUAUGAAUGGCAUCACGAGGGCUUAACUGUCUCCCUUUUCCUGUCAAUGAAAUUGAUCUCCCCGUGCAGAAGCGGGGAUACACCCAUAAGACGAGAAGACCCUAUGGAGCUUUAGGCUCCAGAAUAGAUUAUAUUUAACAUCCUAAAACAAAAGACAAAACUAAUUAACCCCUACUCUGCAUGCCUUUGGUUGGGGCGACCGCGGGGAAAUAAACAACCCCCAUGUGGACCAGGAGCACAUCCUCCCAAAACCCAGAACCACAUUUCCAAGUAACAGAACUUCUGACCAACUUAUGACCCGGCAUUCAGCCGAUCAACGAACCCAGUUACCCUAGGGAUAACAGCGCAAUCCUCUUCUAGAGCCCAUAUCGACAAGAGGGUUUACGACCUCGAUGUUGGAUCAGGACAUCCUAUUGGUGCAGCCGCUAUUAAGGGUUCGUUUGUUCAACGAUUAAAGUCCUACGUGAUCUGAGUUCAGACCGGAGUAAUCCAGGUCAGUUUCUAUCUAUGCUACGAUCUUUCCUAGUACGAAAGGACCGAGAAGAAGAGGCCCCUGUUCUUAAUACACCUCCCCCCCACCUAAUGAAGUCAACUAAAAUAGAUAAAAAGGGCGUGCCCCACUAAGCUUAAGAAAACAGCU
rnacentral:rRNA from 1 species